AAUAAGUGCAGUUUUAUUCACGUUUAACGUUUGACCAUUCGUCUUAUUUGAAAAUUUUUUAUGAUUGGUAUUUUUAUUGCUAUUAGAUGAUAAAACAUGAAUAGUACUUUAUGUGUGACUAAAUAUUUUAAAUUUUUUUACAAAUUUUUUAAAUAAGACGGAUGGUCAAACGUUGGGCACGGAUAUCCACGACUACACUUAUU
rfam:Oryza glaberrima chromosome 1 Oglab01_0311_9, whole genome shotgun sequence.